CCUACGGGUGGCAGCAGUGGGGAAUAUUGGACAAUGGGGGCAACCCUGAUCCAGCCAUGCCGCGUGUGUGAAGAAGGCCCUCGGGUUGUAAAGCACUUUCAGUGAGGAAGAACGCCUGGUGGUUAAUACCCAUCAGGAAAGACAUCACUCACAGAAGAAGCACCGGCUAACUCCGUGCCAGCAGCCGCGGUAAUACGGAGGGUGCGAGCGUUAAUCGGAAUUACUGGGCGUAAAGCGCGCGUAGGUGGCUUGAUAAGCCGGUUGUGAAAGCCCCGGGCUCAACCUGGGAACGGCAUCCGGAACUGUCAAGCUAGAGUGCAGGAGAGGAAGGUGGAAUUCCCGGUGUAGCGGUGAAAUGCGUAGAGAUCGGGAGGAAUACCAGUGGCGAAGGCGGCCUUCUGGACUGACACUGACACUGAGGUGCGAAAGCGUGGGUAGCAAACAGGAUUAGAUACCCUUGUAGUC
rnacentral:rRNA from 1 species